GAUGAACGCUAGCUACAGGCUUAACACAUGCAAGUCGAGGGGAAACGACAUCGAAAGCUUGCUUUCGAUGGGCGUCGACCGGCGCACGGGUGAGUAACGCGUAUCCAACCUGCCCACCACUUGGGGAUAACCUUGCGAAAGUAAGACUAAUACCCGAUGAUAUCUCUAGAAGACAUCUGAAAGGGAUUAAAGAUUUAUCGGUGAUGGAUGGGGAUGCGUCUGAUUAGCUUGUUGGCGGGGUAACGGCCCACCAAGGCAACGAUCAGUAGGGGUUCUGAGAGGAAGGUCCCCCACAUUGGAACUGAGACACGGUCCAAACUCCUACGGGAGGCAGCAGUGAGGAAUAUUGGUCAAUGGGCGAGAGCCUGAACCAGCCAAGUAGCGUGCAGGACGACGGCCCCUAUGGGGUUUGGUAAAACCUUGCUUUUAUAAGGGAAUAAAGUGAGCCUCGUGAGGCUUUUUGCAUGUACCUUAUGAAUAAGGACCGGCUAAUUCCGUG
rnacentral:rRNA from 1 species